CCCGCGACAUUUCGCUGCCCCGUGACCAACAGCUUACCCCAACCUUACCGACGAACCUAAAUUCUAGAAUAAUGAGCAAAGGAAAAACCGGUAAAAUCCCAUAAAAAUUCUGUGCACGGGAGUCUGGACGAAGACGCAGGACGCAAAAGCAAAAAGGAGAACCUCCCUGAAAUAGAAGAAAACCUUAAUCAGGUAUAUCUGGGAGUAUGGGCAUCUGAAGUUCCAGCAGUGAAGAUAAAGGAACAACCUGCUUGAUACAUCAUUCAAGAAUGAAGAAAGCACCAGAACCAGAGAAGAUAUGGCGGAUUGAACCUUCAGGACCUUCACAUAUGAAACUGUAUCAGUCGUAAUUUGGAUUUACGUGAUAACUGACAUACCAGCUUGGGACCAAUACUUAUACCUGAAAUUAAUGCAGAAUGCUACUAAAGUUGUUAAUUGUAGUGACUGUUGAGUGUGUGCACAAUUGCCUGAAUCAGGAGAAGAUCAGGGCCUUCCAUUAACUGGCCUUCCAAUUUCCAACACUAU